rnacentral:rRNA from 1 species
UGGGGAAUAUUGGACAAUGGGCGAAAGCCUGAUCCAGCAAUGCCGCGUGAGUGAUGAAGGCCUUAGGGUUGUAAAGCUCUUUUACCCGGGAUGAUAAUGACAGUACCGGGAGAAUAAGCCCCGGCUAACUCCGUGCCAGCAGCCGCGGUAAUACGGAGGGGGCUAGCGUUGUUCGGAAUUACUGGGCGUAAAGCGCACGUAGGCGGCUUUGCAAGUUAGAGGUGAAAGCCCAGGGCUUAACCCUGGAAUUGCCUUUAAAACUGCAUCGCUAGAAUUGUGGAGAGGUGAGUGGAAUUCCGAGUGUAGAGGUGAAAUUCGUAGAUAUUCGGAAGAACACCAGUGGCGAAGGCGACUCACUGGACACAUAUUGACGCUGAGGUGCGAAAGCGUGGGGAGCAAACA